rnacentral:ribozyme from 1 species
AUUUUCGUAUUCCUCCAUUCGUGUCCAUUUUCCUCAGGGACGAGGACUUUCACAGAUAUUUCGCUCAAGACGAUCCCGAUGGGGCUUGUCCCGCACGUGUUAUUGAGUACCAUCAUGCUGACAAAGAAAGUGGUGUAGAAC